CCUACGGGUGGCAGCAGUGAGGAAUAUUGGUCAAUGGGCGGGAGCCUGAACCAGCCAAGUCGCGUGAGGGAAGACGGUCCUAUGGAUUGUAAACCUCUUUAGGCGGGGAGCAAUGCCGGGCACGCGUGCCCGGCGGGAGAGUACCCGCAGAAUAAGCAUCGGCUAACUCCGUGCCAGCAGCCGCGGUAAUACGGAGGAUGCGAGCGUUAUCCGGAUUUAUUGGGUUUAAAGGGUGCGUAGGCGGAUGUUUAAGUCAGCGGUAAAAUGUCCGGGCUCAACCCGGGCCGGCCGUUGAAACUGGGGAUCUUGAGUGGGCGAGAAGUAUGUGGAAUGCGUGGUGUAGCGGUGAAAUGCAUAGAUAUCGCGCAGAACCCCGAUUGCGAAGGCAGUGUACCGGCUCCACACUGACGCUGAGGCACGAAAGCGUGGGUAUCGAACAGGAUUAGAUACCCCAGUAGUC
rnacentral:rRNA from 1 species